rnacentral:tRNA from 1 species
GGAAGCGUGCCAGAGUGGUUGAAUGGGCCUGUCUUGAAAACAGGUAUGCCGGAAACGGCAUCGGAGGUUCGAAUCCUCCCGCUUCCG